UAUGACCACAUCACAUUGAACCACCAGUUUCCAUAUGAUGACUGAAGUUAAGCAACAUUGGGCCUGGUCAAUACCUAGAUGGGUGACUGCUUGGGAAUACAAGGUGCUAU